GACGAACGCUGGCGGCGUGCCUAAUACAUGCAAGUAGAACGCUGAAGAGAGGAGCUUACUCUUCUUGGAUGAGUUGCGAACGGGUGAGUAACGCGUAGGUAACCUGCCUUGUAGCGGGGGAUAACUAUUGGAAACGAUAGCUAAUACCGCAUAACAAUGGAUGACACAUGUCAUUUAUUUGAAAGGGGCAAUUGCUCCACUACAAGAUGGACCUGCGUUGUAUUAGCUAGUAGGUGAGGUAAUGGCUCACCUAGGCGACGAUACGUAGCCGACCUGAGAGGGUGAUCGGCCACACUGGGACUGAGACACGGCCCAGACUCCUACGGGAGGCAGCAGUAGGGAAUCUUCGGCAAUGGGGGCAACCCUGACCGAGCAACGCCGCGUGAGUGAAGAAGGUUUUCGGAUCGUAAAGCUCUGUUGUAAGUCAAGAACGGGUGUGAGAGUGGAAAGUUCACACUGUGACGGUAGCUUACCAGAAAGGGACGGCUAACUACGUG
rnacentral:rRNA from 1 species